rnacentral:rRNA from 1 species
AGAGUUUGAUCAUGGCUCAGAGUGAACGCUGGCGGCGUGCUUAACACAUGCAAGUCGAACGAGAACGGAUUAUAGCUUGCUAUAAUUGUCAGCUAAGUGGCGCACGGGUGAGUAAUGUAUAGAUAACCUGCCCUCUAGAAAGGAAUAACAGUUGGAAACGACUGCUAAUGCCCUAUAUGCCUUUAAUACAUAAGUAUGCAAGGGAAACGCUUUAGUGCUAGAGGAUGGGUCUGUAUGGUAUCAGCUUGUUGGUGAGGUAAUGGCUCACCAAGGCUAUGACGCCUAACCGGUUUGAGAGGAUGAUCAGUCACACUGGAACUGAGACACGGUCCAGACUCCUACGGGAGGCAGCAGUGGGGAAUAUUGCACAAUGGACGAAAGUCUGAUGCAGCAACGCCGCGUGGAGGAUGACACAUUUCGGUGCGUAAACUCCUUUUAUAUAGGAAGAUAAUGACGGUACUAUAUGAAUAAGCACCGACUAACUCCGUGCCAGCAGCCGCGGUAAUACGGAGGGUGCAAGCGUUACUCGGAAUCACUGGGCGUAAAGAGCGUGUAGGCGGGUAUAUAAGUCAGAAGUGAAAUCCAAUAGCUUAACUAUUGAACUGCUUUUGAAACUGUAUACCUAGAAUGUGGGAGAGGUAGAUGGAAUUUCUGGUGUAGGGGUAAAAUCCGUAGAGAUCAGAAGGAAUACCGAUUGCGAAGGCGAUCUACUGGAACAUUAUUGACGCUGAGACGCGAAAGCGUGGGGAGCAAACAGGAUUAGAUACCCUGGUAGUCCACGCCCUAAACGAUGCACACUAGUUGUUGUGAGGCUCGACCUUGCAGUA